rnacentral:rRNA from 1 species
AACGAACGCUGGCGGCAUGCCUAACACAUGCAAGUCGAACGAGACCUUCGGGUCUAGUGGCGCACGGGUGCGUAACGCGUGGGAACCUGCCCUUAGGUUCGGAAUAACUCCCCGAAAGGGGUGCUAAUACCGGAUAAGGUCUUCGGACCAAAGAUUUAUCGCCUUUGGAUGGGCCCGCGUUGGAUUAGGUAGUUGGUAGGGUAAAAGCCUACCAAGGCGACGAUUCAUAGCUGGUCUGAGAGGAUGAUCAGCCACACUGGGACUGAGACACGGCCGAGACUCCUACGGGAGGCAGCAGUGGGGAAUAUUGGACAAUCGGCGAAAGCCUGAUCCAGCACGGCCGCGUGAGUGAUGAAGGCCUUAGGGUUGUAAAGCUCUUUUACCCGGGAUGAUAAUGACAGUACCGGGAGAAUAAGCUCCGGCUAACUCCGUG